CGGGAGAAGCAACUAAAACACUAGAAAGAAGAAAGAAAGGAAAGUGAGGUUACUGGUUGGUUGGUUGGUCGGUUGGGACAGCAAAACCAAAACAAAAGAUGAAGACUAUGGUGACGCCAUUGAUGAAAAUUUCCCCAUUUUCUCGGCCAAAUGGCAUUUAUAUUAAUAAACCCUCUUCUCUCGUCCCUCUUUCCCCUCUCACACCCCAACGCAACUCUUCUUCACCAAACUCCCUCACCUUUCCCACUCUCACUCCUACUCUUUCUGUUUCCAUGGCCGCUUCACCCCAAUCCACCGCUCCGACUGCGUCCCCUGGCGGUGUUAACAUCAACAAAGAUGAUGUUUUUCAGUUAAUUCAGGCGCAUCAGGAAAAAGCUGCUAGGCUUCCACCGGUAGAAGAAAUUCGAACUUUCCUUGAUCGCAGCGUGCGCGGGAUGCUAUCUACCUACUCAAAGAAGUUUGAGGGUUAUCCAUCUGGGUCGAUGGUGGACUUUGCAUGUGAUGCAAAUGGAUAUCCGAUACUAGCAGUGAGCGACUUGGCAGUUCAUACGAAGGACUUGGCUGCAAAUCCUAAAUGUUCACUGCUGGUGCCUAGAGAUCCUGAAGAUAGGACUGAUCUAGUUGUCACUUUACACGGUGAUGCUGUCUCUGUACCUGAAAACGAUAAAGAAGCCGUACGAGCUGCAUAUUUGGCAAGACAUCCCAAUGCAUUUUGGGUUGACUUUGGGGACUUCCAUUUUCUGCGCAUUGAACCGAAAGUUGUACGAUAUGUGUCAGGUGUUGCUACAGCUUUGUUAGGAUCAGGAGAGUUCAGUCCAGAUGAAUAUAAAGCUGCAAAAGUUGAUCCCCUAGCUCAGUUUUCCAAGCCGGUGGUGUCUCAUAUGAACAAAGAUCAUGCUGAGGAUACAACAGUGAUUGUGCAGCACUGGACCUCAGUUCCGGUGGAAUCUGCAUACAUGCUAGAUGUUGAUAGUGUUGGCUUCAAUGUCAAGGCUGGUUAUAAGGGUGAUACUUUCAAGCUCAGAGUACCUUUUCCUCGACGUGCAGGAGACAGAAAGUACAGAAUCAUAGAUGGAUAUUAAGACUCUAAUUGUUGAGAUGCUUCAAGCUGCUAGACCUCAUGUUGAUUGAUUGCUCCACAGAUAAACAGAAAAAAUAAACAGUACACUACACUAUGCCUAUCAUCUUUGGGAGAAGAGAAAAACAAAAUGUGUUCCUUCAAAACUUGGCCAUGUGAGUCCCCCACACACAAGAUGACAAAAACAAAAUGGAUGACCCUUUUUACCCUUUUUCACUCACUAUUCAGUAUUAUUUUCUUGGGGUGGAAAAAAAAAAAGAAAAGAAACCCUUGAAAUUCCUUACAUAGAAAAGUGGUGUGAUUGUGAAUGAAAGAAACUUUGUAUAUAAUAUGAUCGUGAAUGUGAUCUUCCUCCAGGUGUACUCUUGUUGGAGAAAUUAUAUGAAUCCAUAAAUAAAAUAAACUCCAUUAAUUUUUAGGACAA